GAUGAACGCUGGCGGCGUGCCUAAUACAUGCAAGUCGAGCGAACAGACGAGGAGCUUGCUCCUCUGACGUUAGCGGCGGACGGGUGAGUAACACGUGGAUAACCUACCUAUAAGACUGGGAUAACUUCGGGAAACCGGAGCUAAUACCGGAUAAUAUAUUGAACCGCAUGGUUCAAUAGUGAAAGACGGUUUUGCUGUCACUUAUAGAUGGAUCCGCGCCGCAUUAGCUAGUUGGUAAGGUAACGGCUUACCAAGGCAACGAUGCGUAGCCGACCUGAGAGGGUGAUCGGCCACACUGGAACUGAGACACGGUCCAGGCUCCUACGGGAGGCAGCAGUAGGGAAUCUUCCGCAAUGGGCGAAAGCCUGGCGGAGCAACGCCGCGUGAGUGAUGAAGGUCUUCGGAUCGUAAAACUCUGUUAUUAGGGAAGAACAAAUGUGUAAGUAACUAUGCACGUCUUGACGGUACCUAAUCAGAAAGCCACGGCUAACUACGUG
rnacentral:rRNA from 1 species